rnacentral:lncRNA from 1 species
GAGAGCCCGUUUAUCCCACACACCAUUUGAUUAUCCUAUUCGACCCUAUAGGAUGAGUUUGGCUGACUACUUUGUCAGAAGAUCAGAGACUCGACCUCGUCUAGAGGAGAUUGAUAGUGUGGUUCAUAUAGAUAGGGAGACCGAUCUUCAGCAUCUAUUUCACCAGCUACAGUUGAGUGAUGGGGCUCCCGACACUUCUUUCCCUAUGGCGAUUACUCCCACGUCUCCAGAUUGAACUAGCAUGUUGUCUCUAUGCUUUCUAGAGGAGAUCACGAGUGAUGGGGUGAAUGUUGAUCCUACUGAGGUGAUUGAUGGAGUUGUUCCCCAUGAUGAGUACCAUGAUGAGAUGGACAUGAUGACCGUGAGCCAGAUUAUAGGCAUUGUUCAGCUUCAGCCUGUUUCAGCAUUUGAUAUGUUUGGGGUGUCUACCAUUGAGGUUUUUGAGGGGACUCAGAAUCUUCCUGUUCCAGAGCUUCCAGAGGAUGAUAGUAGUUUGUUUGAGGGCAUCAUUAGCCUAGUUGAGGGAGCGUCCGACCUUGUGGACCCACCUCUUUCUUUUGAUGUUUUAUCGGGAUUUGUCUCCCGCUCUAACUAUGUUUCUGUUGCUUCAUUUAUGGAUUUGAGCAUUUUUUAGUAUUCGCCUGUCUCUUGUGAUAGUAUCUCUAUAUCUGCACCCCACCCACCCACUUCACAGAUAUUUGAUAUAGAUGAUGAGAUUACACAGCCCGGUUCGGAUAGGGACUCUUUGGAUCAUGACUCUGGUCCCAUAGAUGAGAGAGUUUCACCUGCUGCAGGGGAUAUUGAGAUUGUUGAUUUUGGCACAAAGGAUCAGCCUAGAGAGCUGAAGAUUGGUUCAUCUCUAUCUACAGAUGAGAGAGAUAGACUCAUCCAUUUACUCAGGUCAUAUUUGGAUGUCUUUGCAUGGUCUUAUGAGGACAUGACAAGUCUUGAUCCCUCUAUAGUCCAGCACCAUUUACCUACCCUACCACAUGCUAGACCAGUUAAGUAGAAAUUGAGACGGUUGCAUCCACGUUGGAGUCUACAAGUAAAAGAGGAGAUUCAGAAACAACUCAGUGUUGGGUUCAUAUCAGUAGUUGAGUAUCCAGAGUGGUUGGCUAAUGUCGUCCCUGUUCCUAAAAAGGAUGGCAAAGUUAGGGUUUGUGUUGACUUCAGAGAUCUCAAUAAAGCCAGCCCUAAAGAUGACUUUCCCCUUCCACACAUUGAUUUGUUGGUUGAUGGCACCGCUGGCCAUUCGAUGUUGUCUUUCAUGGAUGGGUUUUCAGGGUAUAAUCAGAUUUUGAUGGCUCCAGAGGAUAUGGAGAAGACAGCCUUUAUUACUGAGUGGGGUACCUACUGUUACAGAGUUAUGCCAUUUGGGUUGAAGAACGCAGGAGCCACUUAUCAGAGAGCCGCUACCACUUUGUUUCACGACAUGAUGCAUAGGGAUGUCGAGGUUUACGUAGAUGAUAUGAUUGUGAAAUCCCAAGGUAGAGCAGAUCACCUAGAUGCUUUAGAGAGAUUCUUUGAGAGGAUCCGCAAGUUUAGAUUGAGGUUGAAUCCCAAGAAGUGUACCUUUGGAGUGACUUCUGGGAAGUUAUUGGGACAUAUAGUCAGUGAGCGGGGCAUAGAGGUCGACCCAGAUAAAAUCAAAGCCAUACUUGACAUGCCUGCACCAAAGACUGAGAAAGAGAUUAGAGGUUUUCUGGGCAGAUUACAGUACAUUAGUCGGUUCAUAGCCAGAUUGACAGACAUAUGUGAGCCUAUCUUUCGUCUUUUGAGGAAGAACCAGCCAACAAUUUGGAAUGAUGACUGUCAGUUUGCAUUUGAGAAGGUCAAGGAGUAUUUGCUUUCUCCUCCUGUUUUAGUGCCUCCUACGCCAGGACGUCCACUUCUUCUAUAUUUGUUAGUUUCGGACAUGGCCUUGGGAUGUAUGUUAGCUCAGAUUGAUGACUUAGGAAAGGAGCGAGCUAUUUACUAUCUAAGUAAGAGGAUGUUGGAGUAUGAGAUGAAAUAUGUUAUGAUUGAGCGCCUAUGCUUAGCACUAGUUUGGGCUACCAGGAGAUUGAGGCAUUACAUGACAGAGUACUCAGUACAUUUGAUAUCCCGCCUGGACCCGUUGAGAUACUUGUUUGAUAGACCUGCAUUGACUGGUAGAUUGAUGAGAUGGCUUGUACUUUUGACAGAGUUCGAUAUUCAGUAUGUUCUCAGAAGUCUAUUAAGGGGAGUAUUGUCGCCGAUCACUUAGCCUCACUACCGACAUCUGAGGAUAGACCAGUUGAUGAUGAUUUUCCAGAUGAGGAGUUUGUUGCUAUGACCAGCUUAUCAGGAUGGUGCAUGUACUUCGAUGGUGCAGCCAAUCAGUCAGGGUAUGGGAUAGGUGUUCUAUUGGUAUCCCCUCAGGGUGAUCAUAUUCCGAGGUCCGUUCGUUUGGCAUUCUCUGAUCGACAUCCUGCCACGAAUAACAUAGUUGAGUAUGAGGCUUGUAUCCUUGGUUUAGAGACUGCAUUGGAGCUUGACAUUAGACAGAUGGAGGUGUUUGGUGACUCCAAUCUGGUACUCAGGCAGAUUCAGGGGGAUUGGAAGACUAGGGACGUGAAGCUUAGGCCAUAUCAUGCUUACUUAGAGUUGUUGGUUGCGAGAUUUGACGACUUGAGAUAUGUUCAUCUGCCUAGAGCGCAGAACCGAUUUACUGACGCCUUAGCUACUUUAGCUUCCUCUGUGGACAUUCCGAUUGAUGUAGUCAUACGUCCAUUACUGAUUGAGUCGAGAUCUGCACCCGCCUAUUGUUGUUUGAUUGGGGAGAUAGAGGACCAGGAUGAUCUACCUUGGUAUCAUGACAUUCAUCAGUUCCUCAGAUUUGGCACAUACCCUGAGGUAGCCACUGCCAAGGAUCAGAGAGCACUGAGGCAUUUGGCUACUAGAUUUGUGAUUUGCGGAGAUACCUUAUACAGGCGAUCAGCUGAUGGUAUGCUUCUGUUGUGUUUAGAUCGAGCCUCUACAGAUCGAGUGAUGAGAGAGGUCCAUUCAGGAGUUUGUGGUCCGCAUAUGGGAGGACACAUGCUAGCCCGUAAGAUUAUGAGGACGGGCUAUUUCUGGUUGACUAUGAAGACAGAUUGUUGUCAGCUUGUCCAGAAAUGCCCAGAGUGUCAGAUUCAUGGUGAUCUCAUUCAUGCACCGCCAUCAGAGUUACACGCUUUGACCUCGCCAUGGCCAUUCUCAGUAUGGGGUAUUGAUAUUAUUGGGAAGGUUUCACCAAAAUCUUCCAGUGGUCACGAGUUCAUCCUGGUUGCCAUAGAUUAUUUCACCAAGUGGGUGGAGCCUGCAUCAUAUGCGAGGUUGACAUCUGCUAGGGUUGCUAGUUUCAUCAGAUCACACAUCAUUUGCCACUAUGGGGUUCCUCAUGAGUUGAUUUCCGACAGAGGGGCGCACUUCCGAGCUGAGGUAGACACUUUGUUGCAAGAGUAUGGCAUUCGACAUCAUAGAUCUUCAGCAUAUAGGCCACAGACCAAUGGGGCAGUAGAGGCUGCAAACAAGAAUAUUAAGAGGCUUUUGAGGAAGAUGGUUGAGACUUCUCGAGAUUGGUCAGAGAAGCUUCCUUUUGCAUUGUGGGCAUACCGCACCUCUUUUCGCACCUCUACAGGAGCUACGCCUUACUCCCUAGUGUAUGGUAUGGAGGCUGUUUUGCCAGUCGAGACAGAGAUGGGCUCAUUGAGAGUAGCCCUUGAGCAGCAGAUUUCUGAGACAGAGUGGGCUCAGGCUCGAUUUGAUCAGCUUAACCUUUUAGAUGAGAGGAGAUUGAGAGCAGUAGAUCAUGUUCAGGCCUAUCAGAGAAAGAUGGCUCGUGCCUUCAAGAAACGAGCCAUGCCUAGACCAUUGCAAAAAGGGGACUUAGUUUUGAGGAUUCUCAGAGGUUUGAUUGGAGACCCUAGAGGAAAGUUUAGACCUAGUUGGAGUGGGCCUUAUGUUAUCCGGGAGUUGACUCCAGGAGGGGCUGCAUGGUUGACAGACUUAGAUGGAAACCAAUUUUCAAAGCCUACCAAUGUGGAUCAGCUGAAGAAGUAUUAUGUUUGAGACCGUGGUCGCAGGAUGGGUGGCCACCAUUUCGGUUAGCCUCAUACUUUAUCACCUCUAUAUAUUAGACCGUUGCUAGCCCAUUGAGCUUCGCAUGGUAUGUUAUAGCCUUAUUUCUUCCUUAUAGCUUUGAUUACCAUUUCUAUACCCGGGUUGGGGCCCUUUGAUGUAUAUGUAUGCUUUGCUAGGAAAGUCUCAUGAGCUUUAGACUUAUAGGUCUAUCUUCUCAUUUUGUUACCAUCCUCUUAUCACCCUAUUUGUUCUAUUUUAUUAUCACCACAUAUUCAUUCUCUUUCUUGUCCCUAUCAUUAUUUGCUUCAUCUUUAUCUAUUCUCUUCCUUGGGUUGAUGAUUCUUCACGUCUUAGUGCAAGGAGGGCUGUCAUAUCACUCUAUUCAUUCCAUCAUUUGACAUUGAUUUGGAGAUUUUAGUUUGAGAGGUUGUCUCAGGGGUUGGGGUUCAUGUAUCCAUCAGUGGUUAGAGAGAGUUUGUUCAUUCCUUAUAUUUUUCCAUUGGAGUUUGAUUUAUUGAUGAUCAGAGCAUGCGCCAAAAAUAUAUAUAUAUAUAUAUAUAUAUAUAUAUAUAUAUAUAUAUCAAAAAAAAAAAAAAGCGCAAGGAUAUGCUCAUGUAUGGUAUCUCAUUCCAUUGGGUAUUUAUGCCACCUUUGGAGGUUCAUUUAUUGGGUAUAUUUGUCAUUGUGGGUUUUUGUGAGUUUUUAUGAGUUUUUCAGUCCUUGAGCCACUCUUGUUACGCAUUUGGAGUGUCGAGGGUUCAUGUGAGAGUUCUAUGAGAUCCUAUGCUGCUUGGAUCAUGAUUGAUAUAUAUUAGGUAUGAGAGAUGAGUGACCUUUUUACUAGGGUCUCCGGAUCAUUGUCUUAUACCCACCAUUCCAUCAUUGGUGGUAUGACUUUCCUUUAUUAUACUAACAUGGGUUGAUCAUCACUCAUUCCACUUUCUCAUUGCUUUCUUUUGUAUCCCAUCACCUCUUUCCAGAUCUUCGUUCCACUUUUUAUCCAUUCCCUACUUGUUUGAUACCCAUUACUGAUUUGAUACCUUCUUCACAUCAUUCACAUAUUUCAUUGAUGGUUUGACCAUUCAUCCUUUCUCUCAUUUCGCUAUCGACAUUCCCUUUGGUUACUUCUAAGUCCAUGACUCAUGAGAUUUUUCUAUGCAUUACAUCUUAUACAUGAGGGUAUGGGUUUGAUCAUUGGGUAUUUGAGCCUAGUUUCCUUUCAUUUCUUUCACCCUAUCACCUUGGCCUACGUUACGUCCAGUGUCUUAAGACCACCCUGAGGCCACGAGAUCAGACGAUAUCUUUGACAGUCUUCACUUGGACAGGUUUUUGGUAGAUUGGUUGAAGUAUGGUCGUUACUAUGUUCUCUUUUAAGGAAGAUACUUUUGGAAGCAUUUGGUCUCUCUCUUGCUUGGCAUAUUGAUGUUUGAUGGAUUUUUGGGUUUGGAAACAGUUCAUUGAGGAUAUUGGAUUCAUCCUUUGGUUGUGCAUUAGAUAUCCACACUGGGGCAUAUUCCCCUCUCCUUGAUGAGAUUGUAUUUGGGCAGUGAUAUGAGGAUGGAUGAUGGAUGAUCAUUGUUAGUUUGUUUGCCUCACGACUUCGACAUCCGAUAUCCAUACUGGGUCAUAUUCCCCUCUCCAUUACGAGAUUUAUUUGGGCAGUGAUAUGAGGAUGGAUGAUUGGUGUCGGUUGUUUAGCUUAUGACUUUGACGUCAGAUCUUAUACUGGGGCAUAUUUCCCCCAUUUUCUUUGAGUAUCCUUGAGAUUGAAACAGUGGAAAGGUGGAUUGAUAAUGUGCUGAAGAAACUGAUUAAAUCUUCUGGUAUAGUAUCAGAAUCCCAAGAACAAUGUGCUGAAGAAACUGAUUAGACCUUUAAGCUCUUCUCUAGCAGGGUCUUUGAUAUCAAAUGCCUGUCAGAACCCCCAUUCAGUAAACUGCUUCAAUUUGAGCUUAGGAAUCCAAGGAAGACACGGAUAAGGGAAAGUUGAUUACGCCAGAAUCUAUAUUUCUCAAGAGCAACUCAAGUUUACUGGAACUCUUCACCCUUCACUGGAAUUCAAUAAAACUUUGAACAACAGAGAGCCACAGAAAAGUACUAAAGGAGGGCAGAAUGUAUUUUGGGAUUCAACAUCAGCAGGAUAGUCUCAAAUCUUAUUCCCAGGCUCCACUCCAUCAUGGCAACCUUGCUAUACACACCCUCUCCUCUAUUUACUUCUGUGAUUGGGAACUUACUGUUUUAAAUUGAAUUUUUGAACCAUUGUUCAACUAAACAUUCCCAGCUUUGAAAAAUCCAUAUUAGGAGCAUCUAGGUAUAAAAUCCCAAUUUUAACAUGCUAUUUGCUGCCAUUUUCCUCCGGGCAUGCACUUUCACUAUUUUAUCCGAUUUUUAACUAUUUUCAUGAUUUUCUCGAUUUUCUCAAGCAUGAACAAACUUCAUGAUUCCAAACAAUGGAAUUAAUAGAAUAAAUUCAUGCAAAAGUAAUCAGGGCAUUGGAGGGAGGCCCGACAUUCAUAAUAUUCUCUUCAAUAGUGUCUUGUUUGAUAUUUGAUUGAUUGUGCUUCCUCUUUGUGGUAUAUAUGAGAUUAUUUUGAAUUAGUUAUUGAGUUAAUUUUGUUUCCCAUAGAGGAGUAUUAACUCGCUAAUCAGGUACGCUCUUUCUACCACCACACUUUCCAAAAUUUCAUGAAUAUGAGACAUAACCAUGUUUGAUGCCAUAAUUGAUUGCUUUGAUCCUUGUUGGAUCGUCUUUGAUGAAAAUACAUAUUAUGUGUCAUAUUUCCAAACUAAUAUCUCAUGUUUUGUGAUAGCGUUUGAGAAGCCGUUCAGGUACGCACUUCGACUCUCUCUUAUGGUUGGUUUUCUUAUUAGGCAUGCAAUAUUUGAAAUCACCUAGCCUACUCAGGUAUCCAUAAUUAACUGAUUAAUGGCCACACUUCCCUUAACUUUGUCAGUAGAGACCUUUAGAGGGCUUAGAGGGGUGCUACCUUUUAAAGGUACCUUCCCAAUAGGUUAUCUGAUCCCCGGACCUAGACUCGGGUUUUUCAAAGACACGCUUUUCCAAAAAUUGUGGAGUCAUUUUUUUAGGGUUUUAUUUCUUGUUUUAUUUUCCCUUCAAAAAUAAAAAUAAAAUAAGUGGCGACUCCAACUUUUUUUAAAAUUAAUUUUUCACAAUAAAAAGCGAGUCUCGCCGAUCGAGUGGGGACGCACGUGAAAAAUGCGGGUCCACAAAUUGGCGACUCCACUGGGGAUCUCUGAUCGGUGAAAAUGACCAGACUCAAAGAAAGUGCUCCACUAGGGGCUCAUCUCAACCAAAUGAAAGGGAAUAUGCCCCAGUAAGAUAAUUGAUGCACAGUAGAAUGAAAAUCUGGAUAGCAUCAAAUAUCAUCCAUAAAAUGAAGCAAUCAUCCACAUCCAUCACCAAAUCACCUCCAAGCAUCAAAGAAGCAUCUCCCAGAAGAAGAAACAUGACAACAUCUAUAUAUUAACCAAAUCCCAAACACCAACCUAAGUAGAGGCUGUCAAAGAGAAUACACACGGUUUCAUGGCUCCUCCCAAGCCUCACAAAAUUCUAAUGGUGGCUGAGAAGCCCAACAGUGCUCUUUCUAUCUCCUUGGCUCUCUCUGGUGGUCACAUGUCUACUAGGUGUAGUAGUACAGAAGUCCAUGAAUUUAAUGGAACCUUUCGUGGAUCUAAUGCACAAUAUAAGGUAACAACAGACAAGAAAGCUCCAAAAUUGUUGAAUUAAACAAAGAGCAGUCCAUGUUUAUCAGACUUUGAUGGUCAGAAUUGCUCCUCUGCUUCAAACCUCAUGCUACACUGUCUCCAGCAAACGGUGAAUCAAAAUGACAUUCAUUCAAAUUGUUGUAGCAAAGGAUGGCCUUUGCUGUAGUGCUUUGAUAGGUUCAGUUGUAGUAAACAUCAAUAAUAAAUAGCUCGUCCAACUUUGCAUCUUUCAUGUGACUACUCUAGUUAACAGAAUAUUAGAAUGUCAUGAAACUUGCUGAUUAUUUGUGGAAAAAUCAGGGACUGAAGUUCUACUCAAGCUAUUGCUUGGGCCUAAUUUUGCCCAGUUUUUCGGAAUGGUGCCAUUUGCUCUAUACGAUACCCUGGUCUACAAAAUAGCAUCCAGCAUCACCUAGACACACUGAUUAUUAGUACUCUAUGAAACUAAACAGACUUUGUUUACGACUGAUUUGUGGCAGAAGCAGAGUAAGAGAAGGGGGAGGGUAUUGGCUUGUUUCCCUGACCUUUAGCUCGACAUAAUUUGACAGAUAUCAGGCUCUUCGAGUAGCUCAGACUUUUUUUAAAAUUUUUGUGAGUGGGAAGAGUAAGACACACGACAAAUUGGAGCUUCAAGAUUGCAUGAUUAAUUUCUAGAGACAUUUGAGAAGCGGAUGAAUUUUGGCUUCAGCAAAAGAAAACUAAGAACUCGAAAAUCUAGUUACAGCCAAAUCAAAUGCUAUCAAGCAUAUUGGCCUCAAAGCAAUGAGGUUUAAGACAGCAAAAGGACUCUGUACCUGUGGAGAUUGAAACUGAUCUAGCUGCCUAUCACAUCAAGGAUAUCCUUAGUUUGCUCUUGAUGAAUAAAUAGGAAGCACAUACAGACUUUAUUCGUUUGUCCAGCUAAGAGACCAAUUGAUACAGAAUUCUGGAACUGUUAUGGAAUUGGUAGAGCUUUUAAUAGAAAUACAGAUCAAACACCAUCAUUAAAGAUGAAAACCAAGUUCAGUGCAGAUUGUUUAAGACAGAAAGAAAAUAGUCUCCGUGUGUGACAGAAGUUAAGAAUGGUGUCUAAACAUUCUUGCUCUCUAUUGGAAUUCCUCAGCAAACAGCAGAAUUUGAAUCAUAUAUUCGAAAUCACCUAGCCUACUUAGGUAUCCAUAAUUAACUGAUUAAUGGUCACACUUCCCUUAACUUUGUUAGUAGAGACCUUUAUAGGGCUUAAAGGGGUGCUACCUUUUAAAGGUACCUUCCCAAUAGGUAACCUGAUCCCUGGACUUAGACUCGGGUUUCUCAAAGACAUGCUUUUUCCAAAACUAUGGAGUCACUUUUUAGGGUUUUUCUUUCUUGUUUUAUUUUCCCUUUAAAAUAAAAAUAAAAUAGGUGGCGACUCCAACUUUUUUAAAAUUAAUUUUUCACAAAUAAAAAGCGAGUCUCGCCGAUCGAGUGGGGACGCACGUGAAAAAUGCGGGUCCACAAAUUGGCGACUCCACUGGGGAUUUUGAGGAUCAAGCUUGAACACUAGUUGAGGAAAAUGUGGCGUUUAAUUGGUCGAUUAGUGGGUACCUCCUUUUUAGGCAAGGUGAUUCGAUUUGCUUGAUUGUUUGGUUUGCUAUCUUACCAUGUUUGAUUGCCUUGGAUGAUCACUUGAUUGUUUUGCUCACUUUAGCAUGAUUCACUCUCACAUAUGCUAGAUAGGACUUUGAUUGUAUGAUACUUAUCUACUUGGUAUGACUGCUUGUUGCAUGACAACCCUUUCUCUUGCAUGAUUGUAUGAUUGCUUGUCUUUGUUCACUAUCUCACUUUAGAUCUUAGGUUUUUCAGAUGCACCCACAUCCUUCAUUGUGCACUUUAGAUUAUCCCUGAGUGUUGAGAGAUGGGAGAGCCUUCACCCUUAAGAAACCCCCUGGGAACGCGAGGAAGUGCAUGUGUGGGGGUGAUGACCACCUUGCAUGGAAGCACCCCGUCUCCUUGGAGGCGUGCAGAGGGUUGUGUACCACCGGAGGGUACGAUCGCUUCUGCUAGAGAUCCUUUAACCCACCCAUUUUAUCUUAUAGAGCCGCCUUAACCUUGUAGGUUAGCCUAGACCCAAUUAAGAUUUCAUUCCUACACGUGGGUGCAUCUGUGGACCUUUAGAGCUGCCUUGGUCACGAUUGGGAUUGGUUAUCCUUUCCUUAGUCUCUUUUUGGUGUAAUCAGAGGAGGGUGUCAGAUUGAGUAUAUUUGGGCUUUGCUUCUACGCCUUUGAUUCAUACAGAGUCACCUUCGAGUUGCACCUUAUUCAGUGUUUCCAUAUUUGUAGGAGGGUUUACCGUGACCGAUCUGGAUUCACCUUUGUGGAUUAGAGUUGGAGGUAGAUUGUGCAGAGUAUCAGACCAGUCAAAUCAGAGAUCAGAUCAGAGGGAUAUGGACUCACAGGUAGUUACCGUUGACCAGUUUGCCGCAGCCAUGGCUUCUAUCCAGGAGGCUAUAGCUAACCUUGGUCAGAGGAUAGAUGGACAGCAGACCCAGCAGGUCCCAGUUCAAGAGAGUGCCCAGUUUGAUACCACAAUACCGCCACCACCUCUGCCUAGUCAGUCAGUACCACAGGCUAUACCUUUCACUCUGCAUAGUCAGAUCGAGGUUGCCCCGCCUCCCAUCACAUCACCUAUCCCGGCUUCAGAGGACCCACACACACGUAUGGAUAGACUCGAGCAGAAGUUGAGACAGAUGAGGACUUCAGAGGGAGCUAUUACUUGGGAGGAUUUUGAUGGAGCACCAGUGGCCAAUCUACCGGCCAAGUUUAGGAUGCCUGAGAUUGAGAGAUACACAGGCAUAGGAUGCCCUCGCAUCCAUUUGAGACUCUAUAGUACUGUUAUGAGGGCCCAUGGACUGGAUGAUGCCCAGAUGGUUAUGCUCUUCCCUAUGUCAUUGAGUGGAGCUGCACAGCGUUGGUUCGCUUCAUUGGAGGUAUCACGUCGUAGGACUUGAGAUGACUUAGCCCAGGAGUUUUUGAGACAGUUUGCAUUUAACACUGUCAUUGAUGUUUCGAGGAGAGAGUUGGAGGCUUUGAGACAGAGGCCGGAGGAGUCAGUCACUUCAUUUAUCUCCUGCUGGAGGGAGAAUAUUUCACAGAUUAUAGACCGUCCUUCAGAGAGAGAUCAGAUUAGCAUGAUCAUGAGGAGCUUGCAGCCUAGAUUUGCUAGACACUUGAUGGGAUUUCCCCAUACGGAUUUUGGAUCUUUGGUACAGGCUUUGUACGGUAUAGAGGAGGGCAUUGCUAGAGGAUUAUGGUCUGAGUCUUCCCCUACUGAUUCUAAGAGGAAGAGGUCUUUAGGAGGACAGAGAUCAGGAGAUGUUGGAGCUAUCAGUUCAGCAGGAAUGAGACCUUCUAGACGCUAUCAGACAGUUGGGCAGACUCCUGGGUACUACUAUCCACCUUCACCUCAUGCGCAUUAUAGACCACCCGCUCCUUCCAGACCCAUGACUCCUACUUAUAUGCAUCCGGACUCGCAGCCUGUUUUUGCUGCACAUGUCGCAGAGAGGCCUCCUGCCCCAUAUACUCGACCCCGAGCUCCACAGACCACUACUUAUGUGCAGAGGCCACCACGUCAGUUUGCUCAGUUGGGUAUGCCUUUGAGUCGAGCUUUUCAGAAGCUCACAGAGGGUGGAUUACUGAUUCCAUUAGCAUCCAGGCCUUUACCCCAACCCAUACCACCUCGCUUCAGGAUGGACUUACAUUGUUCCUAUCAUCAGGGACCAGGGCAUGACACGGACCAUUGCACUGCUUUGAGACAUGCUAUUCAGGACUUGAUAGAUCAAGGUUUGGUCAACUUAGGGUAGCUAAGUGUGACCACUAACCCUCUUCCUGCUCAUUUUACACACACAGUGCAUCCAUCUUCAGGAGAUAUUCAUCACAUGGACCUUAUAAAGGAUGACUGUAUACACAUGUUGAGUUGGGAUGAUGGAUUACCCAAACCGAUUGUUUUGCAUGACAGCUAUGAGAUUGAUGGGGUUUCAUUGGUCCCUUAGACUCCUGCACUAUUCAGUUUGAUCCCGGACGAGGCACCAUUCCAGUUGACUCAUCUUAUACCCUUAGUUAUCGGAUGUCAGGAUAUUUUUGUCCCUUUCACCUUAUGGCCAGAGGAUGAUGAUUCAGAGGGGAGAGAGAUACAGAUUGUGACUCGUAGUGGGAGGAUAGCUCAGCCACCACCACCAGCAGUCAGACCAUUUGAGGGUACAGCCUCUCAUGAGGAGGUUAGGAGAGAGGAUGAUGAGGUUUUGAGACAGUUACAGAGUACUCAGGCUCGCAUUUCCAUCUGGAGUUUAUUAGCAUCAUCCAGUACUCAUAGAGAUGCUUUGAUUCGAGCCUUGAGUCAGAUUAGAGUAGAGACUACCACCACUCUAGAGGGAUUGAUUCAUAUGAUGAUGGCUGGCAGAGCCACUUGCAUUGUAUUUUCAGAUGAUGACUUGCCACCUGAUGGUUUAGACCACGUGCGCCCUCUAUACAUCACAGUUGGAUGUUCAGGCCGUAGAGUCUCGUCUGUCCUACUGGACAACGGCUCAGCCCUGAAUGUUUGUCCUUUAGCCACUACUAUAACCCUUGGUUUCGUGCCUUCAGAUUUUGGUCCUUCUACUCAGACAGUCAGGGCGUAUGAUAGCACCAAGAGGGAGGUUAUGGGUACCUUGAUGAUUGAUUUGCAGAUUGGUCCAACCACAUUUUCCACUUUGUUCCAGGUUUUGAGGAUUCCUACAUCCUUUAACCUGCUACUGGGCCGACCAUGGAUUCAUGUAGUUGGAGCUAUUCCUUCUUCCCUUCAUCAGAAGGUGAAGUUCAUUCAUGAUGGGCAAGUUAUCACAGUACAGUCCACCAGGGAUAUGUUAGCCUCUUCCGAGCCAGUACUUCAGAUUAGUCAUAGUGAGGAUGACCUAUUUUUGACUGGAUUUACUUUUGAUGAGAUACAGACUCUCGAGAUUGAGGAUUUUCAUAGAGACUUUGUGGCUAUGUCAUUUGAUCAGCACAGUAGCACAGUGGUCCUUGAUAUGAUGAGGGGUAUGACCUUUCUACCUGGCAUGGGGUUAGGACGACGUCAGCAGGGACCGAGUGAGUUCAUAGCUGCCAUUGACCAUGAUACGACAUUUGGACUUGGAUUCAUCCCUACUGAGGCCGAUUACCGUCACAUGGCGCAGCUGCGCAAGGAGAGGGUGAGAGCCCGUUUAUCCCACACACCAUUUGAUUAUCCUAUUCGACCCUAUAGGAUGAGUUUGGCUGACUACUUUGUCAGAGGAUCAGAGACUCGACCUCGUCUAGAGGAGAUUGAUAGUGUGGUUCAUACAGAUAGGGAGACCGAUCUUCAGCAUCUAUUUCACCAGCUACAGUUGAGUGAUGGGGCUCCCGACACUUCUUUCCCUAUGGCGAUUACUCCCACGUCUCUAGAUUGAACUAGCAUGUUGUCUCUAUGCUUUCCAGAGGAGAUCACGAGUGAUGGGGUGAAUGUUGAUCCUACUGAGGUGAUUGAUGGAGUUGUUCCCCAUGAUGAGUACCGUGAUGAGAUGGACAUGAUGACCGUGAGCCAGAUUAUAGGCAUUGUUCAGCUUCAGCCUGUUUCAGCAUUUGAUAUGUUUGGGGUGUCUACCAUUGAGGUUUUUGAGGGGACUCAGAAUCUUCCUGUUCCAAAGCUUCCAGAGGAUGAUAGUAGUUUGUUUGAGGGCAUCGUUAGCUUAGUUGAGGGAGCGUCCGACCUUGUGGACCCACCUCUUUCUUUUGAUGUUUUAUCGGGAUUUGUCUCCCGCUCUGACAAUGUUUCUGUUGCUUCAUUUAUGGAUUUGAGCAUUUUUUAGUAUUCGCCUGUCUCUUGUGAUAGUAUCUCUAUAUCUGCACCCCACCCACCCACUUCACAGAUAUUUGAUAUAGAUGAUGAGAUUACACAGCCCGGUUCGGAUAGGGACUCUUUGGAUCAUGACUCUGGUCCCAUAGAUGAGAGAGUUUCACCUGCUGCAGGGGACAUUGAGAUUGUUGAUUUUGGCACAGAGGAUCAGCCUAGAGAGUUGAAGAUUGGUUCAUCUCUAUCUAGAGAUGAGAGAGAUAGACUCAUCCAUUUACUCAGGUCAUAUUUGGAUGUCUUUGCAUGGUCUUAUGAGGACAUGACAAGUCUUGAUCCCUCUAUAGUCCAGUACCAUUUACCUACCCUACCACAUGCUAGACCAGUUAAGCAGAAAUUGAGACGGUUGCAUCCACGUUGGAGUCUACAGGUAAAAGAGGAGAUUCAGAAACAACUCAGUGUUGGGUUCAUAUCAGUAGUUGAGUAUCCAAAGUGGUUGGCUAAUGUCGUCCCUGUUCCUAAAAAGGAUGGCAAAGUUAGGGUUUGUGUUGACUUCAGAGAUCUCAAUAAAGCCAGCCCUAAAGAUGACUUUCCCCUUCCACACAUUGAUUUGUUGGUUGAUGGCACCGCAGGCCAUUCGAUGUUGUCUUUCAUGGAUGAGUUUUCAGGGUAUAAUCAGAUUUUGAUGGCUCCAGAGGAUAUGGAGAAGACAGCCUUUAUUACUGAGUGGGGUACCUACUGUUACAGAGUUAUGCCAUUUGGGUUGAAGAACGCAGGAGCCACUUAUCAGAGAGCCGCUACCACUUUGUUUCACGACAUGAUGCAUAGGGAUGUCGAGGUUUACGUAGAUGAUAUGAUUGUGAAAUCCCAAGGUAGAGCAGAUCACCUAGAUGCUUUAAAGAGAUUCUUUGAGAGGAUCCGCAAGUUUAGAUUGAGGUUGAAUCCCAAGAAGUGUACCUUUGGAGUGACUUCUGGGAAGUUAUUGGGACAUAUAGUCAGUGAGCGGGGCAUAGAGGUCGACCCAGAUAAAAUCAAAGCCAUACUUGACAUGCCUGCACCAAAGACUGAGAAAGAGAUUAGAGGUUUUCUGGGCAGAUUACAGUACAUUAGUCGGUUCAUAGCCAGAUUGAUAGACAUAUGUGAGCCUAUCUUUCGUCUUUUGAGGAAGAACUAGCCAACAAUUUGGAAUGAUGACUGUCAGUUUGCAUUUGAGAAGGUCAAGGAGUAUUUGCUUUCUCCUCCUGUUUUAGUGCCUCCUACGCCAGGACGUCCACUUCUUCUAUAUUUGUCAGUUUCAGACAUGGCCUUGGGAUGUAUGUUAGCUCAGAUUGAUGACUUAGGAAAGGAACGAGCUAUUUACUACCUAAGUAAGAGGAUGUUGGAGUAUGAGAUGAAAUAUGUUAUGAUUGAGCGCCUAUGCUUCACACUAGUUUGGGCUACCAGGAGAUUGAGGCAUUACAUGACAGAGUACUCAGUACAUUUGAUAUCCCGCUUGGACCCGUUGAGAUACUUGUUUGAUAGACCUGCAUUGACUGGUAGAUUGAUGAGAUGGCUUGUACUUUUGACAGAGUUCGAUAUUCAGUAUGUUUCUCAGAAGUCUAUUAAGGGGAGUAUUGUCGCCGAUCACUUAGCCUCACUACCGACAUCUGAGGAUAGACCAGUUGAUGAUGAUUUUCCAGAUGAGGAGUUUGUUGCUAUGACCAGCUUAUCAAGAUGGUGCAUGUACUUCGAUGGUGCAGCCAAUCAGUCAGGGUAUGGGAUAGGUGUUCUAUUGGUAUCCCCUCAGGGUGAUCAUAUUCCGAGGUCCGUUCGUUUGGAAUUCUCUGAUCGACAUCCUGCCACGAAUAACAUAGUUGAGUAUGAGGCUUGUAUCCUUGGUUUAGAGACUGCAUUGGAGCUUGACAUUAGACAGAUGGAGGUGUUUGGUGACUCCAAUCUGGUACUCAGGCAGAUUCAGGGGGAUUGGAAGACUAGAGACGUGAAGCUUAGGCCAUAUCAUGCUUACUUAGAGUUGUUGGUUGCCAGAUUUGACGACUUGAGAUAUGUUCAUCUGCCUAGAGCGCAGAACCGAUUUACUGACGCCUUAGCUACUUUAGCUUCCUCUGUGGACAUUCCGAUUGAUGUAGUCAUACGUCCAUUACUGAUUGAGUCGAGGUCUGCAUCCGCCUAUUGUUGUUUGAUUGGGGAGAUAGAGGACCAGGAUGAUCUACCUUGGUAUCAUGACAUUCAUCAGUUCCUCAGAUUUGGCACAUACCCUGAGGUAGCCACUGCCAAGGAUCAGAGAGCACUGAGGCAUUUGGCUACUAGAUUUGUGAUUUGCGGAGAUACCUUAUACAGGCGAUCAGUUGAUGGUAUGAUUUUGUUGUGUUUAGAUCGAGCCUCUGCAGAUCGAGUGAUGAGAGAGGUCCAUUCAGGAGUUUGUGGUUCACAUAUGGGAGGACACAUGCUAGCCCGUAAGAUUAUGAGGACGGGCUAUUUCUGGUUGACUAUGGAGACAGAUUGUUGUCAGUUUGUCCAGAAAUGCCCAGAGUGUCAGAUUCAUGGUGAUCUCAUUCAUGCACCGCCAUCAGAGUUACACGCUUUGACCUCGCCAUGGCCAUUCUCAGUAUGGGGUAUUGAUAUUAUUGGGAAGGUUUUACCAAAAUCUUCCAGUGGUCACGAGUUCAUCCUGGUUGCCAUAGAUUAUUUCACCAAGUGGGUGGAGGCUGCAUCAUAUGCGAGGUUGACAUCUGCUAGGGUUGCUAGUUUCAUCAGAUCACACAUCAUUUGCCGCUAUGGGGUUCCUCAUGAGUUGAUUUCCGACAGAGGGGCGCACUUCCGAGCUGAGGUAGACACUUUGUUGCAGGAGUAUGGCAUUCGACAUCAUAGAUCUUCAGCAUAUAGGCCACGGACCAAUAGGUCAGUAGAGGCUGCAAACAAGAAUAUUAAGAGGAUUUUGAGGAAGAUGGUUGAGACUUCUCGAGAUUGGUCAGAGAAGUUUCCUUUUGCAUUGUGGGCAUACCGCACCUCUACAGGAGCUACGCCUUACACCCUAGUGUAUGGUAUGGAGGCUGUUUUGCCAGUCGAGACAGAUAUGGGCUCAUUGAGAGUAUCCCUUGAGCAGCAGAUUUCUGAGACAGAGUGGGCUCAGGCUCGAUUUGAUCAGCUUAACCUUUUAGAUGAGAGGAGAUUGAGAGCAGCAGAUCAUGUUCAGGCCUAUCAGAGAAAGAUGGCUCGUGCCUUCAAGGAGAUUGGGGCCCUUUGAUGUAUAUGUAUGCUUUGCUAGGAAAGUCUCAUGAGCUUUAGACUUAUAGGUCUAUCUUCUCAUUUUGCUACCAUCCUCUUAUCACCCUAUUUGUUCUAUUUUAUUAUCACCACAUAUUCAUUCUCUUUCUUGUCCCUAUCAUUAUUUGCUUCAUCUUUAUCUAUUCUCUUCCUUGGGUUGAUGAUUCUUCACGUCUUAGUGCAAGGAGGGCUGUCAUAUCACUUUAUUCAUUCCAUCAUUUGACAUUGAUUCGGAGAUUUUAGUUUGGGAGGUUGUCUCAGGGGUUGGGGUUCAUGUAUCCAUCAGUGGUCAGUGAGACUUUGUUCAUUCCUUAUAUUUUUCCAUUGGAGUUUGAUUUAUUGAUGAUCAGAGCAUGCGCCAAAAAAAAAUAUAUAUAUAUAUCAAAAAAAAAAAAAAGCGCAAGGAUAUGCUCAUGUAUGGUAUCUCAUUCCAUUGGGUAUUUAUGCCACCUUUGGAGGUUCAUUUAUUGGGUAUAUUUGUCAUUGUGGGUUUUUGUGAGUUUUUAUGAGUUUUUCAGUCCUUGAGCCACUCUUGUUACGCAUUUGGAGUGUCGAGGGUUCAUGUGAGAGUUCUAUGAGAUCCUAUGCUGCUUGGAUCAUGAUUGAUAUAUAUUAGGUAUGAGAUAUGAGUGACCUUUUUACUAGGGUCUCCGGAUCAUUGUCUUAUACCCACCAUUCCAUCAUUGGUGGUAUGACUUUCCUUUAUUGUACUAACAUGGGUUGAUCAUCACUCAUUCCACUUUCUCAUUGCUUUCUUUUGUAUCCCAUCACCUCUUUCCAGAUCUUCGUUCCACUUUUUAUCCAUUCCCUACUUGUUUGAUACCCAUUACUGAUUUGAUACCUUCUUCACAUCAUUCACAUAUUUCAUUGAUGGUUUGACCAUUCAUCCUUUCUCUCAUUUCGCUAUCGACAUUCCCUUUGGUUACUUCUAAGUCCAUGACUCAUGAGAUUUUUCUAUGCAUUACAUCUUAUACAUGAGGGUAUGGGUUUGAUCAUUGGGUAUUUGAGCCUAGUUUCCUUUCAUUUCUUUCACCCUAUCACCUUGGCCUACGUUACGUCCCGUGUCUUAAGACCACCCUGAGGCCACGAGAUCAGACGAUAUCUUUGACAGUCUUCACUUGGACAGGUUUUUGGUAGAUUGGUUGAAGUAUGGUCGUUACUAUGUUCUCUUUUAAGGAAGAUACUUUCGGAAGCAUUUGGUCUCUCUCUUGCUUGGCAUAUUGAUGUUUGAUGGAUUUUUGGGUUUGGAAACAGUUCAUUGAGGAUAUUGGAUUCAUCCUUUGGUUGUGCAUUAGAUAUCCACACUAGGGCAUAUUCCCCUCUCCUUGAUGAGAUUGUAUUUGGGCAGUGAUAUGAGGAUGGAUGAUGGAUGAUCAUUGUUAGUUUGUUUGCCUCACGACUUCGACAUCCGAUAUCCAUACUGGGGCAUAUUCCCCUCUCCAUUAUGAGAUUUAUUUGGGCAGUGAUAUGAGGAUGGAUGAUUGGUGUCGGUUGUUUAGCUUAUGACUUUGACGUCAGAUCUUAUACUGGGGCAUAUUUCCCCCAUUUUCUUUGAGUAUCCUUGAGAUUGAAACAAUGGAAAGGUGGAUUGAUAAUGUGCUGAAGAAACUGAUUAAAUCUUCUGGUAUAGUAUCAGAAUCCCAAGAACAAUGUGCUGAAGAAACUGAUUAGACCCUUAAGCUCUUCUCUAGCAGGGUCUUUGAUAUCAAAUGCCUGUUAGAACCCCCAUUCAGUAAACUGCUUCAAUUUGAGCUCAGGAAUCCAAGGAAGACACGGAUAAGGGAAAGUUGAUUACGCCAGAAUCUGUAUUUCUCAAGAGCAACUCAAGUUUACUGGAACUCUUCACCCUUCACUGGAAUUCAAUAAAACUUUGAACAACAGAGAGCCACAGAAAAGUACUAAAGGAGGGCAGAAUGUAUUUUGGGAUUCAACAUCAGCAGGAUAGUCUGAAAUCUUAUUCCCAGGCUCCACUCCAUCAUGGCAACCUUGCUAUACACACCCUCUCCUCUAUUUACUUCUGUGAUUGGGAACUUACUGUUUUAAAUUGAAUUUUUGAACCAUUGUUCAACUAAACAUUCCCAGCUUUGAAAAAUCCAUCUUAGGAGCAUCUAGGUAUAAAAUCCCAAUUUUAACAUGCUAUUUGCUGCCAUUUUCCUCCGGGCAUGCACUUUCACUAUUUUAUCCGAUUUUUAACUAUUUUCAUGAUUUUCUCGAUUUUCUCAAGCAUGAACAAACUUCAUGAUUCCAAACAAUGGAAUUAAUAGAAUAAAUUCAUGCAAAAGUAAUCAGGGCAUUGGAGGGAGGCCCGACAUUCAUAAUAUUCUCUUCAAUAGUGUCUUGUUUGAUAUUUGAUUGAUUGUGCUUCCUCUUUGUGGUAUAUAUGAGAUUAUUUUGAAUUAGUUAUUGAGUUAAUUUUGUUUCCCAUAGAGGAGUAUUAACUCACUAAUCAAGUACGCUCUUUCUACCACCACACUUUCCAAAAUUUCAUGAAUAUGAGACAUAACCAUGUUUGAUGCCAUAAUUGAUUGCUUUGAUGCUUGUUGGAUCGUCUUUGAUGAAAAUACAUAUUAUGUGUCAUAUUUCCAAACUAAUCUCUCAUGUUUUGUGAUAGCGUUUAAGAAGCCGUUCAGGUACGCACUUCGACUCUCUCUUAUGGUUGGUUUUCUUAUUAGGCAUGCAAUAUUUGAAAUCACCUAGCCUACUCAGGUAUCCAUAAUUAACUGAUUAAUGGCCACACUUCCCUUAACUUUGUCAGUAGAGACCUUUAGAGGGCUUAGAGGGGUGCUACCUUUUAAAGGUACCUUCCCAAUAGGUAAUCUGAUCCCUGGACCUAGACUCGGGUUUUUCAAAGACACGAUUUUCCAAAAAUUGUGGAGUCAUUUUUUUAGGGUUUUAUUUCUUGUUUUAUUUUCCCUUCAAAAAUAAAAAUAAAAUAAGUGGCGACUCCAACUUUUUUAAAAUUAAUUUUUCACAAUAAAAAGCGAGUCUCGCCGAUCGAGUGGGAACGCACGUGAAAAAUGUGGGUCCACACUUUCAUCCCAUAUAAACUUAGCAUCCUUAGCCAAAAGUUCACAAAGAGGUUUUGAAAGCUUAGAGAAGUCUUUUAUAAACCUCCUAUAGAACCCUGCAUAGCCAAGGAAUUGUCUUACUCCUUUUAUAGUUGUUGGGGAUGGCAAUUUGACAAUGAGUUCCACCUUUGCUUUAUCAACUUCAAUGCCUUUCUCGGAGAUGAUAUGGCCAAGGACAAUUCCUUGAUGUACCAUAAAAUGGCAUUUCUCCCAGUUGAGCACUAAGUCCUUUUCAAUGCAUCUGUUCAUAACUGCUUCCAAAUUGGUUAAGCAUUCUUCAAAUGUACCUCCAUAUAUGGUGAUGUCAUCCAUGAAAACCUCCAUAAUUCGCUCCACCAUAUCACUGAAGAUACUUAGCAUACAUCGUUGGAAGGUUGUAGGUGCAUUACAUAAACCAAAAGGCAUUCUUCUGUAGGCAUAUGUUCCAAAUGGACAUGUGAAAGUGGCCUUCUCCUGAUCUUCAACAUCAAUUUCAAUUUGAAAAUACCCGGAGUACCCGUCCAAGAAACAAUAGAAAGGAUGGUCAAAGACUCUCUCCAACACUUGAUCAAUAAAUGGCAGUGGAAAAUGAUCUUUCCUUGUCACAGCAUUCAAUUUUCUAUAAUCAAUACACACCCUCCAACCUGAAGUGAGGCGUGUAGUAAUUUCUUCUCCUUUUUCAUUUUGAACCAUAGUAAUCCCUGACUUCUUUGGUACCACUUGAGUAAGACUCACCCAAGGGCUAUCAGAUAUGGUGUAAAUAAUACCUGCUUGAAGUAGCUUCAGCACCUCAGCUUGCACUACCUCUUGUAAAUGAGGAUUCAAUCUUCUUUGAGAUUGGCGAAUUGGUUUAGCUUCUUCCUCCAUGUAUAUAUGAUGUGUACAAACCAAAGGACUGAUGCCUUUCAAGUCAGAUAUUUGUCAUCCUAUUGUUUUCUUACACCUCUUGAGAACUUCAAGUAAACACUUCUCCUGAGGACUAGUAAGAGAUGAAGAUAUAACAACAAGGCAUUGUUUAUUCUCUUCCAGGUAUGUGUAUUUCAACUCCAUGGGCAGAGGCUUCAAAUUGAGCUUUGGGGUAUCCUCUUUAGCAGCUUCUUGUGUCUCCUCUUUAUUGAACAAAGGUAGAAUCUCUUCUCUCCUCCUCCAACCUUGUAGAGUAACAAGCAUAUCAGAGGGUUCAGGCAACCCUUCUUCAAGAUCCCCAAGACUUUCAUUCAACUUGUCUUGCAUAUUCUGAUUACAGUGCUCCUCCACUAGAGUGUCAAUAUGCAUACCUCUUCUGGACCUUCUUCUUCUUCCGGAGUGAUUAGCUUUUUAGACAUAUAAAAGAUAUUGAGCUCAAGUGUCAUGUUGCCAAACAUGAGUUGCAUGAGUCCAUUCCUACAAUUUAUAAUUGCAUUUGAGGUAGCAAGAAACGGUCUUCCAAGGAUGAUAGGAACAUAAUUAGCUUCCUUGACAAUGAGGUCCAUAUCAAGAGCAACAAAAUCUACGGGAUAUUAGAAAUUAUCAACUUGAACUAAGACAUCUUCAAUUAUCCCCCCUAGAAUUUUCACUGAUCUAUCUGCUAGAGAUAGAGUGAUUGAUGUUGGCUUUAAUUCACUAAGUCCCAAUUGCUUGUAAAUAGAGUAUGGUAGCAAAUUCACACUUGCUCCCAAGUCUAACAAAGCUUUCUCCACUACCUUUCCUCCAAUCAUGACUGAAAUGGUAGGACAUCCCGAAUCUUUGUACUUCAAAGAAGACUUGCAUUGUAUGAUAGCACUUACUUGCUCAGCCAAGAAGGCUUUCUUAUUCACAUUCAACCCUCUUUUGAUAGUACACAAAUCCUUUAGAAAUUUUGCAUAGGUAGGAACUUGUUUAAUCAUAUCUAGCAAUGGGAUAUUGACCUUCACUUGUCUCAAUACUUCAAGAAUUUCUGAUGCAUUUCUGAUGCAUUUCUGAUUCCCUUUUUCCCUUGCAAAGCUUGAGGAAAAGGUGGAGAGGUGUGUUUCUUCAACAUUUCUUCCUUAAUAAGCACUUUCUUUGGAUUUGCAUUCACUGUUGAAUCAUGGUCCUCUUUCCCUUCACUGAUAUCUUUCUUCUUUCCUUUAAUUUCCUCCAUCUUCUCUAUCUCUUCUUCUUCUUCCUCUUCAACAUAUGGCUUGGGUGUUGGCAACUCAACCUUUUUACCACUCCUUAGAGUGAUCAAGGCUUUGACAUCUCUCACCUGUGAAGAUUCUCCUUCAUGAGUUUCCACUUCAUGGAUACCUUUGGGGUUUUGGUGAGGUUGAGAAGGAAAUCUACCCUUCUCUUGCACUGUGUUCAAGUUAGUGAGCCUUGAGAUUGAGUAUUGGAGAUUAUCUAUCUUCUGAGAUAAGUCAUUUUGCAUCUCAUCCAUCCUUUUAUUCAAUGUAUUCUCUACACUGUCAAUUCUUUGACUGAGUUGAGCAUUGAUGGAUUUUUUGUCUCCAACAAAAUCUCCCACAACCUUGCUGAGAUUCACUAUUGCUUGUUCAAGGCUUGAAGCUUGUUGAGAUGGUUGAUUCGGUUGUUGUUAAUGAGGUGCUCUUUGCUUCCAUGAGAAAUUUGGAUGAUUCCUCCAACUUGAGUUGUAAGUAUUUCCAUACGGAGCAUUGUUACUGGGCUUGAAUUGUCCAAUGACAUUUGCUUGUUCUCCAAACAUUUCUCUAGCAGCUGGAAUUGUAGGGCACUCCUCCACUAAGUGUUCAUAAGAUUGACAAAUAGGACAUGGCUUUACUUGCAUUGGUGUCUCAGCAACAGCUUGCACUUCAUGUAUCUUUUUCAGUUCUAGCUCCUCCAAUCUUCUUGUCAUAGCUGCAAACUUUGCUUUCAUAUCAACAUCUUCAUUCAAGGUGUACAUCCCAGCCUUAGCAUUGAAAGCAUUCGGUUGAGACUUCAUCUUCCCCACUUCUCCUUUGUUUGGUUCAUCCCAUCCCCUUGAAACUUCAGCCACAUAACUCAAGAAAUCCAUAGCUUCCUCCAGAUUCUUACUCAUGAAAUCUCCUCCACACAUUGUCUCGAGGAGUUGCUUCAUUGAGGAAAACAUCCCAUCAUAGAAAUAACUCACCAAUAGCCAUGUAUCAAAACCAUGGUGAGGACAAGCAUUGAUGGCUUCCAUGUAUCUUUCCCAACACUCAUAGAAUUUCUCACUCUCUUUAGCUGAGAAGUUUGAAAUUUUCCUUUUCAAGCCAUUUGUUCUGUGAGUAGGAAAAAACUUCUUGAGGAAUUCAGCUUGUAAAUCAGUCCAAGUACGGAUACUCCUUGGCCUUAAAGAAUUAAGCCAAAUCUUGGCCUUAUCCUUUAAAGUAAAAGGAAAUAGCUUAAGCCUCAUCAAGUCGAUUGAAGCUCCUCCUUCUUGGAAUGUAUUACAAACAUCUUCAAAUUCCUUGAUAUGUGCAUAGGGAUUCUCACUUUCCAUCCCAUGGAAAGUUGGUAGAAGUGGAACAAUAUGUGGUCUGAUCACUAGCUACUCUGUAGGGGGCACUAUACAUGAUGGUGCACUCAUACGAGGUGGAUGCAUGCGGUCCCUCAUUGAUCUGAAUGCAUUGGGAUUGUCCUGGUGACCAUGGUGACUAUGCUGAUCUUCAGGUGUCGCUUCCAUGAUAUUCAAGCUCAAUUCCAAUUCCUUGUUAUGAGGUAUUUCACGUUUCACAAGCCUUCCUCCACUAUCUCGUAUCUAAUUUGGCAUACACAACUAGUAUCAAUUAUAACUAAAACAAAAACAAAAGAAAACAAUACUACAAAAAAAUUAAGAUUAAUUAAAAAUACUUUAAAAGAUAUGCUAAAAUAUGAACAAGUAAAAAAAAAUGAGUAAAAAGAGUUAGUAAAAUGAAAGAAAAAUUACCAAACUUGUGAUGAAAAUCACAAGUACUCUGUAAUAAUAUCACUGUGAAGUUGGCACCUUCCCCGGCAACGACGCCAUUUGAUUCAUUCCCAAUUAGUGUACCAGCUAAUUCUUGUUCUCUCAAUAGUCUCGACAAUGGAACCACUUGAUUUAUGCCCAGCUGGUGUAUUCUAGUUUCGGUCCUCAAAUAGGAGUAAUCAACAAAAUUUAUAACCAAUAUCACCAUGCACUAGGAUAGCCUUAGCUAAUAUAGCAUAGUGGCUCUAGGAUCGUUCACUAGGAAGGGUUUUCAACUUACAACUGAUACCAAUUCAAAGUUAAAUUGGUGCUUUUUCAUUUCAAGGGUAGCUUCAAAAGAAAACACAAAGAUGGGUGAAAAAAUAUUGAUUUUAAGCUAACUAAAAAGAAAGUAAUGGGAAUUACUUAUGAAGAAAAGCGUUUCUUGGAGUUUUAGGAUCACCGGGAUCAGGCUCCUCAUGCAAAAACAGAGCUCCGGUCACUUGAGUCUUUUCCUUGCAUUAGAGAAUUAACAUAUAGUUAAUUCUCUAACCGGUGUUGUACAGAUGCCCCCCUUUUAUGGAUUUCAACACUAAUUCCCUCUCACUAAUGCAUCUUGCAAUGACUCGUGCCUCUCACCUAGCAUUUU